rnacentral:lncRNA from 1 species
CUCGCCUACUGCUCACUAGCCAUCUCGAAGGUAGGGAGGGUCAACUUGCACUACGAACCGAGACCGUCUACCGGGACCCAAAAUAGGCAAUCCCUUGGGACCCAAAAUAGGCAAUCCCACGUGACCAACUCCGGAGCGCACUUCUUGUGUGGGGCUUCCAUCACAAGUUAAAAACAGACCGUGAGCAUGAUCCAAUUCUCUUCACUCUAGGGUACCCUAUCCUCUAGGGUUACUA